ACUUAAAUAGUUUAAUUAAAAAAUUUUAAUUUGUGGAAUUAAAGAUAUGAGUGUCAUUUUAAGUU
rnacentral:tRNA from 1 species